AAAGAAACCAACCGGGAUUGCCUCAGUAACGGCGAGUGAAGCGGCAAGAGCUCAAAUUUGAAAUCUGGCCCCUCCGGGGUCCGAGUUGUAAUUUGCAGAGGAUGCUUCGGGUGCGGCCCCCGUCUAAGUGCCCUGGAACGGGCCGUCAGAGAGGGUGAGAAUCCCGUCUUGGGCGGGGUGUCCGUGCCCGUGUGAAGCUCCUUCGACGAGUCGAGUUGUUUGGGAAUGCAGCUCUAAAUGGGUGGUAAAUUUCAUCUAAAGCUAAAUACUGGCCGGAGACCGAUAGCGCACAAGUAGAGUGAUCGAAAGAUGAAAAGCACUUUGAAAAGAGAGUUAAACAGCACGUGAAAUUGUUGAAAGGGAAGCGCUUGCGACCAGACUCGCCCGCGGGGUUCAGCCGGCAUUCGUGCCGGUGUACUUCCCCGUGGGCGGGCCAGCGUCGGUUUGGGCGGCCGGUCAAAGGCCUCCGGAAUGUAUCGCCCCCCGGGGCGUCUUAUAGCCGGAGGUGCAAUGCGGCCAGCCUAGACCGAGGAACGCGCUUCGGCACGGACGCUGGCAUAAUGGUCGCAAACGAC
rnacentral:rRNA from 1 species